GACUGGAUUUGACAGCGAGCCUAAGGGGUAUGUAAGCAUGCAGUGUAUUGUUAGUAGACACUAAAAAAACAACUUUCUAAAUUUUAUCUGGCGAAAAUAAUUAUGCUCUCGCUGCUUGAUCUGAAGUAUAGUAGGAUCGCUUUAUUCUUGUGCUAGGCACAGGAACGAGACAUCACUCAAUCACUCCCUUUCCGAAGCGUAUUGACAUAGUGGUGCAGGAAAUCGGAAAUAGCACACAAUGGCCUUGCAUUGUGUGCGAAGCAAACAAAGGAUAUGCAAGAAAUUUGACUGUUCAGCUUCAGUUUUCUUGCAGACAUCACGAGCUGAACUAAGCAUGUAGAAAUCACAUUUCUUGCUUGUUUGGACGGGAGUUCGAUUCUCCCCUGGUCCACC
rnacentral:tmRNA from 1 species